UACGUAGGGUGCAAGCGUUAAUCGGAAUUACUGGGCGUAAAGCGUGCGCAGGCGGUCUGUUAAGACCGAUGUGAAAUCCCCGGGCUCAACCUGGGACCUGCAUUUGUGACUGCAUCGCUAGAGUACGGCAGAGGGGGAUGGAAUUCCGCGUGUAGCAGUGAAAUGCGUAGAUAUGCGGAGGAACACCGAUGGCGAAGGCAAUCCCCUGGGCCUGUACUGACGCUCAUGCACGAAAGCGUGGGGAGCAAACAGG
rnacentral:rRNA from 1 species